rfam:Capsicum annuum cultivar Zunla-1 chromosome 5, whole genome shotgun sequence
AAGGAGUCUGAUCUAUAUGUGAGUCGAUAUAUUUGUAAACCUAUAAGGCAUAAGGAAUAUUAUUGGUGGGAUCCCCCUGAGUGGUGCACCAUAGACCGACCUUGAUCUUUUGAGAAGGCUUUGAGUGUGAGCAUACCUGUCGGGACCCGAAAGAAGGUAAACUAUGCCUGAGUGAGGCGAAGCUAGAGGAAACUUUGUUAGAGGCCUACAUCGAUAAUGAUGGGAAAAUCAUUCAUCUGACUUGGGUAUAGGGGUUAAAGAUUAAUCGAACUAUCUAGUCGCAGGUUCAACCUAUUCUCAAGUUUU